rnacentral:lncRNA from 1 species
AAAAUAUCAAUAAUGAAUAAUAUAAAAUUCGAGUGUUUGGUUUCAGUGGAGUGCAGAUUUUUUCACGCCUCAAGCUUAGAUGUUGAUAUCUUCUCUGCUUCAUCCUUCCUCGCUGAGAUUCAUGCUGUCAAUUGAGAUCGGAGACGCCAUGAUGGGCGCCACGUACCUUCUUCACAGAAGGGUGAUAACAGCUUGGUACCAGCUUUGCCUCCCUUUUCCUUAGAAAAAACAAGUCUUUCUUGCACUAGAUGUGAAUAAUAAACCACAGCUUUUAUAAAGUGCUGAAUAACCAUCACCUAGCAAUUCAGACAAUCAUUGGGCUAAGGAAUAAAAUGAUGAGCGUGAUUCAAGAAUUGUUCAAUAGUUUCAAGAAAGUAUUACUUGUUAUCAUGGACAAAUCUUAUUUUUAAAACCCUACGAAGCAGUGACAAUUAAGCAAAUCCUAAAUGGCAUUACAUG